rnacentral:rRNA from 1 species
UACAGAGGGUGCAAGCGUUGCUCGGAAUUACUGGGCGUAAAGGGUAAGUAGGUGGUCCUAUUUGUCUAAGGUGAAAUCCCUGGGCUUAACCCAGGAAGUGCCUUGGAAACGGUAGGACUAGAGUCUCGGAGAGGGUCGUGGAAUUCCCGGUGUAGCGGUGAAAUGCGUAGAGAUCGGGAGGAACACCAGUGGCGUAAGCGGCGACCUGGACGAGUACUGACACUCAAUUACGAAAGCGUGGGGAGCAAACAGG